GACGAACGCUGGCGGCGUGCCUAAUACAUGCAAGUCGAACGAACUCUGGUAUUGAUUGGUGCUUGCAUCAUGAUUUACAUUUGAGUGAGUGGCGAACUGGUGAGUAACACGUGGGAAACCUGCCCAGAAGCGGGGGAUAACACCUGGAAACAGAUGCUAAUACAGCAUAACAACUUGGACCGCAUGGUCCGAGCUUGAAAGAUGGCUUCGGCUAUCACUUUUGGAUGGUCCGACGGCGUAUUAGCUAGAUGGUGGGGUAACGGCUCACCAUGGCAAUGAUACGUAGCCGACCUGAGAGGGUAAUCGGCCACAUUGGGACUGAGACACGGCCCAAACUCCUACGGGAGGCAGCAGUAGGGAAUCUUCCACAAUGGACGAAAGUCUGAUGGAGCAACGCCGCGUGAGUGAAGAAGGGUUUCGGCUCGUAAAACUCUGUUGUUAAAGAAGAACAUAUCUGAGAGUAACUGUUCAGGUAUUGACGGUAUUUAACCAGAAAGCCACGGCUAACUACGUGCCAGCCGCCGCCGUAA
rnacentral:rRNA from 1 species